AGUGAACGCUGGCGGUAGGCCUAACACAUGCAAGUCGAACGACAGCACAGUAAGAGCUUGCUCUUACGGGUGGCGAGUGGCGGACGGGUGAGGAAUACAUCGGAAUCUACUUUUUCGUGGGGGAUAACGUAGGGAAACUUACGCUAAUACCGCAUACGACCUACGUGUGAAAGCACGGGAUCUUCGGACCUUUCGGGAGGGAAUGAGCCGAUGUCGGAUUAGCUAGUUGGCGGGGUAAAGGCCCACCAAGGCGACGAUCCGUAGCUGGUCUGAGAGGAUGAUCAGCCACACUGGAUCUGAGACACGGUCCAGACUCCUACGGGAGGCAGCAGUGGGGAAUCUUGGACAAUGGGCGCAAGCCUGAUCCAGCCAUACCGCGUGGGUGAAGAAGGCCUUCGGGUUGUAAAGCCCUUUUGUUGGGAAAGAAAAGCAGCAGGUUAAUACCCCGCUGUUCUGACGGUACCCAAAGAAUAAGCACCGGCUAACUUCGUG
rnacentral:rRNA from 1 species